AAGUGCCUCGGCCGUGGGGUAAACCGAGUCCCAGGGGGCCCCUGCGCAGCCCUAAAAAAUAGGAAUCCACGGCGAGGGGCGGGACACCGGCAUUCCCCACCCCCCGCAGCAUUUUUCCGCAGGAAGCUCCAAUUUCAAAGAACCGGGAGAGGUGGGCGAGACCCCCCGCAAGUCCCCGUCGCACCGCGGCCACAGGCGCACCGAGUUUGCCAGUCCUCAUCCUCCUGUGUGACUGAGUGUGCCCCCCAAAAUUCCUCUCCCUCCGUUUCUGUUUCAAUGUUAUGCCGCCUUUUUUUUUUGCCUGCUUUUCCCUAUUUGCGCCGGGGCAGCCCCAUCACGUGAGGCCGGGCCCGGCUGGACGCGGUUGUCGGGGGUGCGCGGGUGUGGGGGGGCGGACACGCACCCCCAGGCCCGACCUUUGCCCCACAUCCCUUCCCCAAAUUGGGGGCUGGAUUGGAGCGGGGGGGGGGGUUGUUUUGCAGGAGGCGGUGCUCGCUCGCUCUCGCUCCCCCCGGAUUUUUUUCCCUGUCGUUGUUCGGAAAGGUGGAGCCUGGGGCCGCCCCUGCGGACAGGUGCCGGAUGGCGGUGGGGACCCUCGCCCCCUGUCCUUCCGACUCCCUGCAGGAAUUCCAGUACCCUCCCCAAAACAGCCCCCCGGCCGGGGGGGUUCCCCCGACUACUGACCUGGUGCUGGGGGCCACGGCCGGGUGCUUGGCCUGCUUCCUCACCAACCCGCUGGAGGUGGUGAAGACGCGGCUGCAGCUGCAGGGCGAGCUGCAGGCCCCGGGCACGUACCCCCGGCCCUACCGCGGGGUGCUGCGGGCGGCCGUGGCCGUGUGCCGGGCGGACGGGCUGCGGGGGCUGCAGAAGGGGCUGGCGGCCGGGCUGCUCUACCAGGGGCUCAUGAACGGCGUCCGCUUCUACUGCUAUUCCCACGCCGAGGACGCCGGCUGGACCGGGUAUCCCGGGGGAACCGUGGCCGCCGGGGCCGUGGCCGGGGCGGUGGGAGCCAUCGUGGGCAGCCCCGCGUAUCUGGUCAAGACCCACCUCCAAGCCCAGACACUGUCAGCCGUGGCCGUAGGCCACCAGCACAACCAUGAGAGCAUCUCCAGUGCUUUCAAGAGCAUCUACCAGCAGCAUGGGGUGGUGGGGCUGUGGAGGGGGGUGACUGGCGCCGUGCCCCGUGUGACCGUGGGCUCAGCCGUGCAGCUCGCCACCUUCGCCUCUGCCAAGGACUGGGUCUGUGAGCGCCAGUGGUUCAGGAAGGGCAGCUGGGCGGCGGUGCUGGCGGGGGGCAUGGUGAGCGGUGUGGCUGUGGCUGUGACAAUGACACCUUUUGACGUGAUCAGCACUCGUCUCUACAACCAGCCGGUGGACGCCGACGGCACAGGCAAGCUCUACCGAGGUUUUUUGGAUUGUAUCCUGCAAAUCUCCAGCAGAGAGGGGCUGCUGGGCUUGUACAAGGGCAUCGGCGCUGUUUACCUCCGCCUCGGCCCCCACACCGUCCUCAGCCUCUUCUUUUGGGACAAGCUCAGGAACAUGGUUCAGCACUAGCAGCCCCCAGGGCUGUAGGGACACUCCUGCCACCACCACCGAUGUUAAUAAAGAGGGUGGAGAGGAGAAUGGUAAUGCCAGGGUGGAGAGAAGUUAAAGGUGCUGGUGGUCCCUGAGCUCCUCCAUGUGCAUCACAUCCCUC